rnacentral:rRNA from 1 species
UACGAAGGGGGCUGGCGUUGCUCGGAAUCACUGGGCGUAAAGCGCACGUAGGCGGAUCUUUAAGUCAGGGGUGAAAUCCUGGAGCUCAACUCCAGAACUGCCUUUGAUACUGGGGAUCUUGAGUCCGGAAGAGGUGAGUGGAACUCCGAGUGUCGAGGUGAAAUUCGUAGAUAUUCGGAAGAACACCAGUGGCGAAGGCGGCUCACUGGUCCGGUACUGACGCUGAGGUGCGAAAGCGUGGGGAGCAAACAGG